GACAGAGGGGGCAAGCGUUGCUCGGAAUUACUGGGCGUAAAGGGCUCGUAGGUGGCCAACUAAGUCAGACGUGAAAUCCCUCAGCUUAACUGGGGAACUGCGUCUGAUACUGGAUGGCUUGAGUUUGGGAGAGGGAUGCGGAAUUCCAGGUGUAGCGGUGAAAUGCGUAGAUAUCUGGAGGAACACCGGUGGCGAAGGCGGCAUCCUGGACCAAUACUGACACUGAGGAGCGAAAGCCAGGGGAGCAAACGGG
rnacentral:rRNA from 1 species